rnacentral:lncRNA from 1 species
UGUGACGUAAAUGCUGUUACUCUUAUUUUCUCCCAUUUUACAGAGAAAAUUGAAGAAAGAAAGAAAAAAAGAAAGAAAGGAGAGAAAGGAAGGAAGGAAGGAAGGAAGGAAGGAAGGAAGGAAGGAAGGAAGGAAGGAAGGAAGGAAGGAAGGAAGGAAGGAAGGAAGGAAGGAAGGAAGGAAGGAAGGAAGGAAGGAAAGAAAGAAAGAAAGAAAGAAAGAAAGAAAGAAAGAAAGAAAGAAAGAAAGAAAGAAAGAAAUGGAAGGAAGGAAGGAAGGAAGGAAGGAAGGAAGGAAGAGAGAAAGAGAAAGGAAGGAAGAGAGAGAAAGAGAAAGGAAGGAAGGAAGGAAGGAAGGAAGGAAGGAAGAGAGAGAGAGAGAAAGGAAGGAAGGAAGGAAGGAAGGAAGGAAGGAAGGAAGGAAGGAAGGAAGGAAG